UUCUGGGGGAGUAUAAUAUACAUAGUUUCUGGGAUUCUCUCUAUUUUGGCCAAGAAGAAAGUCACCCCUUGCCUGGUGAAGGCUUCGCUUGGGAUGAACAUCUUCAGCACCAUCACAGCUGGCAUCUGCAUCAUCAUGUAUUCCAUGGAUAUGUUCAUUUGGUCUUAUUAUGGCAACUGCUCAUAUUACGACCACUGCUACAAUAACUAUUUGUACCA